rnacentral:snoRNA from 1 species
UUGAGUCCAUUUACAUUUACAUUUAACGGCUUAAUAUUGCCGUUAUGGGUUUUCGGUUUUGCACUAGGAUGCAUAGAAGAAAAAUCCCUGCACUCUUCCGUCUGUCUUUGUGGCGGCCCGAGAUUGAAUUGGGGGAAUACAUCU